GCCAAAGUUUCCUGAAUUGGUCCCCUGUCUCUGUCUCUACUAUGCCCAAUGAAACAGGUUUGGAUAAAUUUGGCAGCAUGGCAAUCCACCGGUAUCCCUUUUCUAGUAUGGCUUUUUGUUGGUAGCACCACUUGAAAAAUUAGCAGCACAGAUAGCUACCUAAGAGGAACUUGCAUGAAAAGGGAGAGAGCGUAGUGCAGCCAAGGAUGACUUGCCGGCAUUAGUGAAGGCAAACAAUCGGUGAGGAUCAAAUAUAGCCGGCAAGUUGGCCUUGGCUAUAUUGGGCUCUCUUCUUCUCAUGUAAGCACCGCUUUUAGGAUCAAAUCUCAAUCAAUGAAGCAGGAAGGGUUUGCACUGAGUAUAUAUAAGAGAUAAGUGCAGCUUUGUUGAUAAGUAUUCUCUGCUAAAUAGCCAAACUAUUGUUUUAUUUUUGAAUUUGAUAAUGUUAAAUGUCCUUUCCUUUUA